rnacentral:rRNA from 1 species
GACGAACGCUGGCGGCGUGCUUAACACAUGCAAGUCGAACGGUAAGGCCCUUCGGGGUACACGAGUGGCGAACGGGUGAGUAACACGUGGGUGAUCUGCCCUGCACUUCGGGAUAAGCCUGGGAAACUGGGUCUAAUACCGGAUAGGACUCCUGCCUGCAUGGGUGGGGGUGGAAAGCUUUUGCGGUGUGGGAUGGGCCCGCGGCCUAUCAGCUUGGUGGGGGGGUGAUGGCCUACCAAGGCGACGACGGGUAGCCGGCCUGGGAGGGGGACCGGCCACACUGGGACUGCGAUACGGCCCAGACUCCUACGGGAGGCAGCAGGGGGGAAUAUUGCACAAUGGGCGCAAGCCUGAUGCAGCGACGCCGCGUGAGGGAUGACGGCCUUCGGGUUGUAAACCUCUUUCAGCACAGACGAAGCGCAAGUGACGGUAUGUGCAGAAGAAGGACCGGCCAACUACGUGCCAGCCGCCGCGGUAA